GGUUUCUUGGGUAUCACUCAAAGUAUUGAAGAUGACCCAUCUUUGGAUACCCAGCUUCUCUUAACAUUGCUCACUAGAAGCUCAUUUUAGACCCUGAUUCUAUCUUUUUCCUACAGUCAUCAUAACAAAUCUUUUGUUUAUUCAUGUUGUGUUAUUUUUAGCAUUUUUAACAGAUGUGGUUUGUUCUUACCCUAAUCUAAAUGAAGACAGGUGCCCAGGAAACUAUACCAACCCUCUUGAAGUUCAAAUGGUUGUAAUCCUUUGGAAAGUUACUUUGUGGUGGAUUUUCUGUUUACAUCUUGAAUGCUACAUCCAGUAUCACCACAGCAAAGUCAGAAAUCGAGGCUAUAACUUGAUCUACUGAUGGAUAAGGCAUCUCAAGAGAUUUAUGUUAAUGAUACACUCCACUGGCAACACAAUAAUUCUCUUCAUACUGUGUUGCAGCAUUCCUUCCUGGAACCCAGCAGAUCAGAUUAUAUCUUGAUCUCCUUCUGGCCAUCCUGGCCCUGGUGCUGAUCUGUUUUCUGAUGUGUCUGCUCAUUUACACAGUGAAAAUCUGGAAGUUUAAUAAAGCUAAGCCAUAUCCUGAUGUACUUGAAGAAGGAAAAAUCUGUACUUAACCCAGCAGUAUUACCUCAGAGACUGGAUUCAGGACUAUUUGAAACCUAGAAGAAGUUGUUGAAAAGCAAGGAGACAUAAUAGUAUAUAUGAAGCGACACAAUGAAGUGUUGAGUGACUGUUGGCUCUCACUUCCUUGGACCUAGCCUGUUAGCCAAGUAGA
rnacentral:lncRNA from 1 species